rnacentral:rRNA from 1 species
UACGGAGGGUGCGAGCGUUGUCCGGAAUCACUGGGCGUAAAGGGCGCGUAGGCGGCCCGGUAAGUAGGGGGUGAAAUCCUGAGGCUCAACCUCAGGGCUGCCUUCUAAACUGCCAGGCUCGAGCACAGUAGAGGCAGGUGGAAUUCCCGGUGUAGUGGUGAAAUGCGUAGAGAUCGGCAGGAACACCCAGGGGGAAACCAGCCGGCUGGGGACGGGCUGACGCUCAGGGGCGAAAGCGUGGGGAGCGAACCGG